rnacentral:piRNA from 1 species
UGCGAGCAUCCCCCAACAGCAAGCCC